rnacentral:rRNA from 1 species
AAGCCUGAUGCAGCAACGCCGCGUGAACGAUGAAGGUCUUCGGAUCGUAAAGUUCUGUUGCAGGGGAAGAUAAUGACGGUACCCUGUGAGGAAGCCCCGGCUAACUACGUGCCAGCAGCCGCGGUAAUACGUAGGGGGCUAGCGUUAUCCGGAUUUACUGGGCGUAAAGGGUGCGUAGGUGGUCCUUCAAGUCGGUGGUUAAAGGCUACGGCUCAACCGUAGUAAGCCGCCGAAACUGGAGGACUUGAGUGCAGGAGAGGAAAGUGGAAUUCCCAGUGUAGCGGUGAAAUGCGUAGAUAUUGGGAGGAACACCAGUAGCGAAGGCGGCUUUCUGGACUGCAACUGACACUGAGGCACGAAAGCGUGGGUAGCAAACAGGAUUAGAUACCCUGGUAGUCCACGCUGUAAACGAUGAGUACUAGGUGUCGGGGGUUACCCCCCUCGGUGCCGCAGCUAACGCAUUAAGUACUCCGCCUGGGGAGUACGCACGCAAGUGUGAAACUCAAAGGAAUUGACGGGGACCCGCACAAGUAGCGGAGCAUGUGGUUUAAUUCGAAGCACGCGAAGAACCU